AUACGUAGGGGGCGAGCGUUGUCCGGAAUGACUGGGCGUAAAGGGCGUGUAGGCGGCGGUGUAAGUCUGGAGUGAAAGUCCCGCAUUCAAUGUGGGAAUUGCUUUGGAUACUGCAGUGCUAGAGUGCGGAAGAGGUAAGUGGAAUUCCCAGUGUAGCGGUGAAAUGCGUAGAGAUUGGGAGGAACACCAGUGGCGAAGGCGACUUACUGGGCCGUAACUGACGCUGAGGCGCGAAAGCGUGGGGAGCGAACAGGAUUAGAUACCCUGGUAGUCCACGCAGUAAACGAUGAUGGCUAACCGCUGGGCUUAUCAGUUCAGUGGCCAAGCGAAAGCGAUAAGCCAUCCACCUGGGGAGUACGACCGCAAGGUUGAAACUCAAAGGAAUUGACGGGG
rnacentral:rRNA from 1 species